rnacentral:rRNA from 1 species
ACCCGCUGAACUUAAGCAUAUCAAUAAGCGGAGGAAAAGAAACCAACAGGGAUUGCCUUAGUAACUGCGAGUGAAGCGGCAAAAGCUCAAAUUUGAAAUCUGGUGCCUUCGGCGCCCGAGUUGUAAUUUGGAGAGACAUCUUCGGAGUAGACGCCGUCCUAAGUUCCUUGGAACAGGACGUCACAGAGGGUGAGAAUCCCGUGCCUGGAUGGCUGUUCUACUUCAUGUGAAGUGUCUUCGACGAGUCGAGUUGUUUGGGAAUGCAGCUCAAAAUGGGAGGUAAAUUUCUUCUAAAGCUAAAUAUUGGCGAGAGACCGAUAGCGCACAAGUAGAGUGAUCGAAAGAUGAAAAGCACUUUGAAAAGAGAGUUAAAAAGUACGUGAAAUUGUUGAAAGGGAAGCGCUUGAGACCAGACUCGACCAGUGGUGAUCAGCGGUGCUUCUGUGCCGCGCACUUGCCAUUGGUUGGGCCAGCAUCGGUUUGGACGGCGGGAUAAAGACCUAAGGAAUGUGGCUCCCUCCGGGGAGUGUUAUAGCCUUGAGUGCAAUGCCGCCAGUCUGGACCGAGGACCGCGCUUCGGCUAGGAUGCUGGCGUAAUGGUCUU